AAAAAAGCAAUGAAGAGAAGAAGUAGCGCCUUUGCUUUUUCACAGAGAGCUCCGAUUGGUGGUGAAAAGGAGUAUCAGCGAAGGCGCGAACAUGGCCUCUGAGCUGCGCGACUGAAUGGAUUUUCUUGAAGUAAGCCGCGACGAGUUAAGGUUCUCGUUAUAAAAACCGGAGUUUAUGCAUACGUCGUGCAUGCACUCGCUGAGAUCGGUCAUGUGAAUGUCCGGUAAAACAAGGUGGUACCACGGAAAUGAACCCCCGUCCUUAGU
rnacentral:ncRNA from 1 species